CCCCCCCACGGACAGCCCAUAAUAACCUCAACCAACUCCAACCCCCCCUCCACUACCGCCACCCUCCUCUCUAGGUCUCCCGGGCAACCCCCGCCCCCUCGUCGCUCAGGCAACCAUUGGCCACGCCCCCGUCGAGCGCGCGCGCGUCACCUGGGCAACCGCCCACCUCCUGGCCAUCCCAUAAUACACACGGACACCCCACAUACACACACCCCGCCCCCCCACACUCUAUGCAUAUAUGUGCCCAGGGCUACAGACAUAUAGCGCAGAUCUUUUACAAACUAAACCUGCUCCCCCUCCCUCAGAUAUCCCAUAAUAACCACUCUUUGCCAACUUCUUCACUCUUGGCCUUACUGCUAACAUCCCAUAAUAACUCAUUACCCCUCCCUCCCCUUGGCCAUCCCAUAAUAAGCACCCCUCCCAGCACUUCAGCCUCAUAGCCCAUAAUAUUCAACCCAUCCCCCACUGACAUCCCAUAAUAACCACCCCCAGUUUGAUAUCCCAUGAUUGUCAGAAACUCACCCACCCCAUACUACAACAACGGACACUCGGCCUCCUCCCACACAUAUCCCGUAAUAAUCAGUCUCCCACUUUCUAUACUGAUAUCCCUUAAUAUCCAAGCCCCUAGAGCUGCCCUCAGUCCCUGCACUAGGGUUUGGAUUCUAGAUGCUCACUUUACCACCCACAGCCUUCCCAGUCUUUCUAGCUCCAGGGUCCAUAAAUUACCAUUCCUCCCAGAAAAGAGAUACUCACUAAUGAUCAACAGCUCUGCUGUCACCCCACAAAUGGACAUCUAAAUCUCCUCCACUAACACUGGGAAAAUGUCCUAUCAUUUACUCCAUCCACUCUGGCAUCCCGUAAUUUCAAAAAGCCCAUGAUACCAUAACUCUCCCAGCACAACCCAGUGCCACAUCCCAUAAUACUUCUGCUACACUCCACCAUCUCACACAGGUCUGGCCAGACAUCCCAUAAUAUUCACAACCUCCCCCAUCUCUAGAAGUUGUCAAUCUCUUCCAACAGCCAAGAGCAGAGAGGGUGUGGCAAACUACUAACCGCCCGGUCCCCAUUAGCCACGCCUUACUCGUGCACUAGGAGUAUUCUGGCCUCUCCACCUUCAGGACCCCUGGACUCCCUAGCCCAUCAUUUGCAGACACUCAGGAACCGAGAGCCAACCUAGAGCCCUGUCAAAUCCCACCAAAUCCAGGGAUCAUGACCUGCAGGCUGAGGACUGCUGAUCUGGAGGAUUUUACAAGAGAAGGCUGGUCAAGAUAAUUUCCUGCCGGGCCUGAUGAUGCAUGCCUUCAAAUCUUCUCCUAGCUGCUCCCUAUAUGCUAGAGGAUUUUGAUUGGAUUAAAGUCGUGCACCGCUAUCACCCAGCUAGGAUGUGGCUCUUUGAGGAUACCAUCACUGAGGAAAUACAGUCCUCAGGCCAAAGGAGGCACAGGUGGAAGGAAGGACUGGACCCACCUAGCCGGAGCUCUCGCAGCACUACCCCGCGUCCCCUGUACUCUGCAACCCCCAAGAAGUGACUAGGACCCAGGUGUCCUAGGCUUUGGCAGGAUGGCGCCUGCCCCUGGGGCCUCUUCCAACAGCUGUCACCAAAGAAACCUCUCCAGCCAGUUACUCCUGCCAGGCCUCAGGCACUUCUCCACCUCCAUAUUAGUCCGUGGGAUUGGACAUCAGCCUCAUGGGGAGAGAGUGCCCCCAGAGGGCAACGGGCCAGUCACUGCCCCAAGGCUGCCUGCUUGACCUAGCACCAUGGAAACGUGCCCAGCCAAUUGCUAGUUCCCCCGACUCUAGUUCUGCUCGGUAGCAGGGCUCAUCUGGAUAAUUCACCUGGAGCUCUUGCUGCCUUUCAGAAGAGUAGCCCCAGCAACCGGAAAGUCCUACAUAGCCCAGGAGCAUCAUUUAUGGGAUUCCUAAAGUACCUUGCACAUCUCAUUGCCCUCAGUCACCCAAUAAGUAGACACUAUGAGCCCCAUUUCCCAGGGGCAGAAAGAAACAAAGGCUCACAGAGUUAACUGGCUAAAGUUACAUUGCUAAGAAGUGACAGCUGACAUUACUAGCCAGGUUUGUUUGAUUCCAAAGUCCUGGCCGUCUUUGGUUUUCUCUAAACCCAGUAUGAGAAUUCUGGAAGGACAUGGUCCUUCCAGACCCUGACAGCAUGGGACAACUGUCUUAGCCUCUGAUCUCUUGGGCUGUGUGAGGAAAACCCCGUGUGAGGUUUUCCCAGUCUCCACAUGGAACUCCAGUGGGCAACCUUGAAGGGCUUUUUUGUGAGGGCCAAAAAGGAAACACCUCCACUCUCAUUUGAGAUGCUCCACUCAGUCCUGAGCCUCCUGGAUUGUAUCUCAAGACUGACGAGUGCUGCAGGACAUCCCGACUCUUCAGGUCAGCCAAUAGAGGAGACACAUUCUGAGGACCCUGAGAACCAAGGAGCCCUCUUGCCUGGUUGGUGGAUGUAAGAGUCUUGACUGUCACAGAAACAAGUUCAUCUCCCAGGAUGACAGAGGGCCACGGCCAGUUUGCAGGAAGCCUAAGCCAUUCUCUGAGGCUGGCAGUUCCUUGGUGGCUGGCGUGUUUGGGGAACCGAUGAGAUUGGAGACGCGAGUGCAGUUUCCAGCCCUUAGUCAGCCACACUGUGUCCAAGGCAAGUGUAAAGUUAGGGGUCUCGGGAGCCAUGAGUAGAUUAGGAUGUCGGAGGAGGAAGAUUUGGGAAGAACAGAGAUAAUGUGGCAGAUUCAAGGUGGGGCAACAGAAGAGCUUGGUCUACUCAUCCCGGAUAAAUAGCCCAGGACAGGCCAGAAUGCUCAUACCGCCAACGUCCUAGCUGGUGAACCAAUAUGUUUUAUUGGGCUUAUUUAUAGGAAUAUGGAUGAGGGGUUACUUACAGGAACAGAAAUGACACAAAGACUGCUGCACCACCAAAGCCCACCCCCUGCAUGGGUGGUGACAGCUCACAGAAGCUGGGGACCUGGAGCCACCACACAGCCUAUAGACGACCGCUCAGCAGUUUGGAGAAUGUCCUUUCCAGGUGCCUCAGUUGGCCUAAACCUCUUCUAGGCAACUUGGCUGGUUUCUGCUCCUAUCGGGCAGCUGAUCUGGUCUCAGAAUCAUCUUCAGAGCUCAGCUGGCUUCACUAGCCCCUCAGCCUUCACUGCUCACCGGUGGUGGGAGGGGCUAGGCCUCGUGAAUCUGGUCAGUUUUAGGCACUUCCUGAAAGUCUUUUGUGUUGUUUACCUUCCUGCUUAAGGAGCGUCCCUGCAGGGUCGGGUGGAAUGUUUCAAUUUCAGAGGAAACCUUUACACAACAAGAGAGUAGCAAGGAUUAUUAUGGGCUGGCAAGGCCAGUAGUGGCCUGAGUGAAAAGCAGCUGGGGAUGGCAUUGGCUGUAUGACCGGAAGGGGGUGGCAAAUUUGCUAAAGCUGGAAGUAUAAAGAGUUUAGGGAGACAGAGACUGAGCCACUUCCUGGUGGUGUGACCUUUCGACCUCACAGUCCCCCGUGUUUCCUCCGUGUGAAGUAGGGCUAAUCAGAGGCACUUAUACUAACUAUAUAAAACGAGGCUCCCUAGAAAAGCAUGCUAGAGCAUGUGUGACCUUAACACUUCAGAAGCUGAGGCAGGGGGAUUGAGAGCUCAAAGGUAGGCUGGGAUGCAGAGCAAACACCUGUCUCAAAAGAAGCAAACCAGGUGCAGUGGUGCCCAAGCUCUGGAGGCAGAGACAGGAGCUCUGUGAGUUCAAGGCCAACCUGUUGACAUAGUAAGUACAGGGACAGCCAGAGCUUAGUAGAGAGACUGUGUCUCAAUAUAUAUACAUACAUACAUACAUAUAUAUAUUUAUUGUAGACAUUAUAUUGAAAUAGUGGUGUAAAAAUUUUAUUUGCAUAUAUAUUUAUUGAGAGAUAUAUAUCCUUUCUGUCUUUCUUUUUCUUGAGACAACAUUUCUCUGUGGAGCCCUGGCUGUCCUGGAACUUGUUCUGCAGAUCAGUCUGGCCUUGCCCCCAGCUCCGCCUCUCUGGAUUAAAGGUGUGCACCACCACUGUCUGGUUUGGGAUUUUCUUUAUUGUCCAGGCUGCCCUUGAAUUCUAAAUCCUCUUGCUGUAGACUGCAGAG